rnacentral:rRNA from 1 species
UACGGAGGGUGCGAACGUUAAUCGGAAUUACCGGGCGUAAAGCGCGCGUAGGCGGUUCGACAAGUGGGAUGUGAAAGCCCUGGGCUUAACCUGGGAACUGCAUUCCAAACUAUCGGGCUAGAGUACGGUAGAGGGUAGUGGAAUUUCCUGUGUAGCGGUGAAAUGCGUAAAUAUAGGAAGGAACACCAGUGGCGAAGGCGACUACCUGGACCGAUAUUGACGCUGAGACGCGAAAGCGUGGGUAGCAAACAGG